AUAAAAGCAAUGAAAAAGAGGAGUAGAAAUUUUUGAGCAUUAAAAGGAAACUAACUCAGGAGAGUUUAGGAGUACGGUUCUUUUAGCAAGGAAACUCACUCAGACGAGCUGAGGAGUACAGUUCUUUAGCUAAAUCAUAGAUUUAGAAAGAACUAGCAAGAACUAGGAAGAGAGAGGGAGGCGCUGAAAACCCUUAUGCAAGAAAUUUUGAAGGUAGCUUUUGAGCUUCUUUAGUGAAAUAAUAGUAGCUAAAGACGGUUUGUCUGAAUCGUUAUUUAAAUUAAGAGUCCAUUAAUGCAGUAAUUCUGUAUAUGUGGAAAUAAAGGUGGUACCGCGAGCUUUCGUCCUUUUG
rnacentral:ncRNA from 1 species